AUGUUUAUUAUGUGUAAGUCGCUUUGGAUAAAAGCGUCUGCUAAAUGCAAUGUA
rfam:Larimichthys crocea isolate SSNF unplaced genomic scaffold scaffold356, whole genome shotgun sequence.